UGAGGAAUCUUGCGCAAUGGGGGCAACCCUGACGCAGCAACGCCGCGUGAGUGAGGAAGGCCUUCGGGUCGUAAAGCUCUGUCGGAUGGAAAGAAACGAAUGCGGGUUAAUAGCCUUCAUUCUUGACGGUACCAUCAGAGGAAGCACCGGCUAACUCCGUGCCAGCAGCCGCGGUAAUACGGGGGGUGCAAGCGUUGUUCGGAAUCAUUGGGCGUAAAGCGCGUGUAGGCGGCUUGGUAAGUCAGGUGUGAAAGCCCUGGGCUCAACCCAGGAAGUGCACUUGAAACUGCCUUGCUUGAGUACGGGAGAGGAAAGCGGAAUUCCUGGCGUAGAGGUGAAAUUCGUAGAUAUCAGGAGGAACACCGGUGGCGAAGGCGGCUUUUUGGCCCAAUACUGACGCUGAGACGCGAAAGCGUGGGGAGCAAACA
rnacentral:rRNA from 1 species